CCUACAUCUGAAAUGUCCGCUGCAACGUCUGUAUCGCUCAUCUGGAAUGUGCUGUCAGUCUGCCUCCUCGUUUCAAUCCGUGCAGACCAGAAAAUCAUCACAGCUGAGACUGGACAGGCUGUCACUCUGCCAUGUCGAGCUCCAAAUAACAACAUCAUAGUUGUAGAGUGGAGCAGAACUGACCUGAAGUCAGAUUACGUCUUUUUGUACCGCGAUGAGCAGUCUGAUCCAGAAGACCAGCAUCCAUCUUUUAAGAACCGAGUGGAUCUGCAGGACAGACAGAUGAAGGAUGGUCUUUGAUUCUGAAGAAUGUGACGAUUAAUGACGCUCGAGCAUAUCAGUGUCGUGUCUUCAUGGGAGAUUCACGCUCAUGGAAAUCCAUCAACAACGUCACACUGAGUGUUGAUCCUCCAGGUCAGACAGGAGGAGACACAGAGGAUGGAGGGAAGCAGGAUGGAGAGAAUGAGGGAGGAGGCAAGGAGAAUGACUUUAGCCAAUUUAUAUUUUGCUUGAUAGUUUUGCUUGUAUAUGUUGGGAUUGUUGUUUAUGUGAUCUCCAUGAUACAUAAACAAAAACAGAAACAGGAUCCCUGUUAAUCUCAUGCUGAACAGCAGCAUGCAGAAAAGCCAGGAUGUGUUUUUCAAGCAGUACUCUCCUGCAGCUUGUCACUCUCAGUGUUCAAGCUGAGCCUUCAGGGAAAGACAGAUGACAGAAAUGGACAGGCUCGGGAACUGUAUCCUGGAUAGUCGCCGUCAUGAUGUUGUUCAUGUAAAACCGGCAACAUGACCAAAAGGCGAAUACCAACAGGUAAAAAGGAGGAAAAUGCACAAAAUAAAUCAGCCAUGAGAAGGCCAGUAACAAGGUAUGAUACAGAGAGAAGCUAAACAAAGGUGUGUUAUUAGGAGGGGUUGAGCCAUUAAAAUCCGAAAGAAUUAUUGCUUUCAUUUUUCAUUUGUAGUUUUAGGAGCUC